CGUAGGGGCAAGCGUUAUCCGGAUUUACUGGGGUGUAAAGGGAGCGUAGACGGUUUUGCAAGUCUGAAGUGAAAGCCCGGGGCUUAACCCCGGGACUGCUUUGGAAACUGUAGGACUAGAGUGCAGGAGAGGUAAGUGGAAUUCCUAGUGUAGCGGUGAAAUGCGUAGAUAUUAGGAGGAACACCAGUGGCGAAGGCGGCUUACUGGACUGUAACUGACGUUGAGGCUCGAAAGCGUGGGGAGCAAACAGGAUU
rnacentral:rRNA from 1 species